AUUGAACGCUGGCGGCAGGCCUAACACAUGCAAGUCGAACGAGUGGCGGACGGGUGAGUAAUGUCUGGGAAACUGCCCGAUGGGGGGGGAUAACUACUGGAAACGGUAGCUAAUACCGCAUACCAUCGGAUGUGCCCAGAUGGGAUUAGCUUGUGGGUGGGGUAACGGCUCACCUAGGCGACGAUCCCUAGCUGGUCUGAGAGGAUGACCAGCCACACUGGAACUGGGACACGGUCCAGACUCCUAGGGGAGGCAGCAGUGGGGAAUAUUGCACAAUGGGGGAAAGCCUGAUGCAGCAAGGCCGCGUGGAUGAAGAAGGCCUUCGGGUGGUAAAGUACUUUCAGCGAGGAGGCGUUACUCGCAGAGGAAGCACCGGCUAACUCCGUGCCAGCCGCCGCGGUAAUUC
rnacentral:rRNA from 1 species